CUGAGUAGUGACCCUGCCCUGGGCCCUUAGGGUUGAGUAUCUCUCUGAGUAGUGACCCUGCCCUGGGCCUUUAGGGUUGAGUAUCUCUGAGUAGUGACCCUGGGCCCUUAGGGUUGAGUAUCUCUGAGUAGUGACCCUGGGCCCUUAGGGUUGAGUAUCUCUGAGUAGUGACCACUGCACAACGGACCAAGAGACAUCCUUCAGUUGGUUGUGUUUUAUUGAGUUACAGCAGACGGAUAAAUAAAAAACAAACCAGGAAGUAAAGAGAUUCUUGGUAGCAGUACAGUAUUCCAGAUACACGUGUGAACAUGAUUCACUAAUAGAAGCAGCAUGAAACUGAAGGAGCGAGCCAUUGAAAAAUGGAGCCUAACUACACCUAGGAUAUCUAUGGAUAUCUAGAAAGCCAACACGAGAAAAGACCAGUCACUGAUGCAACGGACGCUGCAAUUCAAAGCAUUCAGCAUGAAUGCUGAAGGGAGAACUGUUAUUGUAAUGUAAGUAUGUGAUUCUUAGCCUGGGUAGCAGACCUGUUUUGUGCCAUCAUUCCACUCCUGGAACCCAGGCUAGGUGAUUCUAUGGUCUGGUAGAGAACCACUAGUCCCUUUAGUCCAAAUGGAUGAACACACUGGUUAUCAGAUCAGAAGUGUUACUAGUCUAUCCACUUGAAAUAAGUGCCAUCUAUGACCAGCUGUCAGUCACUAAAUGUUUUGUUAAAAAGAAAAUAAUUACCAACUGAUGAAUUGGUUUACAAUUUCCAUCACAGUCAUUAAAAACCAAAACAUUCCUCUUUUAGGGGUUAUUGACUCCUGUUAGAAAUGUAAAAACCAGCAACCCCCAAAAUGUUUACAAAGCUUUUGCAAUACAGAAAAAUAUUUACAAGGGCCCUUUUUUUAUUUAUUAAGUGUAAUGAUAAUAAUAAUAAUAAUAAUAAUAAUGCAUCAAGUCCAGCUUUGGCACUCAAUGGUCUUUGCCAGUCAGUGUUUGGCGUGGACUCUACUGUCCACUGUGCUGAUGUCACAGGCCAGGUAGGAAAUCAUUGGUUCCAGAAUUCAACAAUCUUGAGAAUCUUCUGCCUGAGAAACUCAGUAUCCUCUGAAACAAAGGAAAAUGUCAAAACACAAGACUUGUUAUACAGAUGGCUGACCACACCCUUCGUUGUUAACCUAUCAUUCUGCAGUUAACGUACCCAUACAGCAGGCUAUCAGAGGUGCUUUUCUGUUCACCAGGGGGG
rnacentral:lncRNA from 13 species